ACACCUCAACUCUCAUGGCUUGCCGUGAUGAGCUUGGACUGUGGGGGUUUUGCUGGCCAGUGUCGGCUCCUCUCAAAUGAAUCAGCUUGCCAGUGUUUGGUGGCAUCACAGGUGUGAUAACUAUCUACGCUUGUGGUUUUCCACCAGGUUACCUUCGGCAACGGAGGUCCACUGGGGCUCAUAAACGUCUCUCCUCGGUGAGGACAGCUCUUUGAAC
rnacentral:misc_RNA from 1 species